rnacentral:rRNA from 1 species
UACGUAGGGGCUAGCGUUGUCCGGAAUCAUUGGGCGUAAAGAGCGCGUAGGCUGCUCGGUAAGUCCGCUGUAAAAGUCAAAGGCUUAAACCUUUGAAUGUCAGUGGAAACUGCCGGGCUAGAGUCCGGAAGAGGCGAGUGGAAUUCCUGGAUGGUAGCGGUGGAAUGCGCAGAUAUCAGGAGGACACCAACGGCGAAGGCAGCGUCGCUGGGACGGUACUGACGCUGAGACGCGAAGCGUGGGGAGCGAACAGG